UACGGAGGGUGCGAGCGUUGUCCGGAAUCACUGGGCGUAAAGGGCGCGUAGGUGGCUUCUCAAGCGCGCGGUGAAAGCCCGGGGCUCAACCCCGGGUCGGCCGUGCGGACUGGGAGGCUCGAGCACUGUAGGGGCGGGUGGAAUUCCGGGUGUAGCGGUGAAAUGCGUAGAUAUCGAGAGGAACACCUGCGGCGAAGGCGGGUUGCUGGGCUGAUACUGACGCUGAGGCGCGAAAGCCAGGGGAGCGAACGGG
rnacentral:rRNA from 1 species